rnacentral:rRNA from 1 species
CCUACGGGAGGCAGCAGUGGGGAAUAUUGCACAAUGGGCGAAAGCCUGAUGCAGCGACGCCGCGUGAGGGAUGACGGCCUUCGGGUUGUAAACCUCUUUCAGCAGGGAAGAAGCGCAAGUGACGGUACCUGCAGAAGAAGCACCGGCUAACUACGUGCCAGCAGCCGCGGUAAUACGUAGGGUGCGAGCGUUGUCCGGAAUUAUUGGGCGUAAAGAGCUCGUAGGCGGCUUGUCACGUCGGGUGUGAAAGCCCGGGGCUUAACCCCGGGUCUGCAUUCGAUACGGGCAGGCUUGAGUGUGGUAGGGGAGAUCGGAAUUCCUGGUGUAGCGGUGAAAUGCGCAGAUAUCAGGAGGAACACCGGUGGCGAAGGCGGAUCUCUGGGCCAUUACUGACGCUGAGGAGCGAAAGCGUGGGGAGCGAACAGGAUUAGAUACCCUGGUAGUCCACGCCGUAAACGUUGGGAACUAGGUGUUGGCGACAUUCCACGUCGUCGGUGCCGCAGCUAACGCAUUAAGUUCCCCGCCUGGGGAGUCGGCCGCAAGGCUAAAACCUUAAAGGAAUUGACGG